ensembl:misc_RNA
UGGACAAUGGUUUCAGACUGAAAUUCUCCGUUUAUUCAGCAGACAAGUACAGCAAGAGCAAUAAUAGUGGAAGCUUCCCUAUGCUGUGCCACCAAUAUGCUUCAUCUCUGACCUGGACAGACUACAUUUAGGGAUGAAAAGGGUAGUUCAGUUACCAUGUCCAUUCAGUGAUCAGCUUCU